GACCAGAAGGGCCGGCAGCACCAGCAGGGUCCAAUAGCCCACUCUGCCCAUAGUCGCCACUGACGGUCCCUGCAGGGUGAAGAGUGAGAGGCAGGGACGCGGUGAGCAAGGCGACCAGAAGAAAGGGAUUACCGACUGGGUCCCGGCUGUAGGAGCCAGGCGUGGAACUCAGCAGCAGGAUAGGCUGCUGGGAUCACAGACUCCACUCCCAAUCCCCGACGCCAUCCAUGUGCCUCGACGCAUCUCUAACUCUAUCUCCAACUCCAAUCCGAGCUUCUCGCAUCCAGCUUCCUCAUUCCCCGUCUCCAGGCGCUUCCCCAUCCCCACCUCUGUCCACAUCCCCCACCGCGUCCCCCAGUUCGCUGCGGAGCACAGACCCUAAGCGCCGCGCGCGUUCUGGAACCCACCAAGCCAGCAGGUGCACCGCAUAAACCCUCCAUCCAACCCCUCCCAGCCGGGAUAGAGAGGCCCAAGUUAUCAGCCCCGCCCCCUGCUCGCGAGGAGCGAACUACAGAAUCGGUGGGAUGUGCCGAGGCGGCGCCUGGGCCCGGCGUCCGGGCGUGAAAGCUGAGCUCCUUGGCUGACCUCGACCCUGCGAACUCGUCGGGUGCACCCCACGCUUUGCUCUAUGCUUCGCGCUAACUACAGACCCGGCUCCUCUGAUGCAGAGUACACCUGAGGUAACUGCGGUCUGAGGCUGAGGCUCCACUGCCCUGUCUUCACCUCCAUGAGAUGCGGGUUAGGUCCCCAUGGCUCCACCUUCUCCUCAAGAAACGGUCCAGAGCCUGUGAGCCCUGAGGAUUCUACAAUUUGGAUGUCAAGAGGAAACUGCCAAAAGCCAGAGCCCAGCAUCAAGAGAGGUUGCAACAAUUAUGCUGGGUCAGACCAUCAAAAGGAUUCACAAGACUCCAACAAAGUAAAAGGCCUAAAUGUUUUUUCUUUUCAAUUUUUAAAAAUAUAUUUCAAAGAGAGACAGAGACUCACCAUGUUGCCCAGGCUUGUCAUGAACUCCUGGGCUAAAGCAAUCCUUCUGCCUUGGCCUCCAAAGUGUUGGGAUUACAGGCAUGAACCACUGCACCUGGCCCUGAAUGGUUUUAUUACAGGCAAAGGAUACAGAACAGUAAGAGUAAGAAAACUUGGAGCAACUUCAAGAGGAUCACAGUAUCCAUGAGCAGUGACUAAGGCCCGCCUCAGUUGCAUAGGACUGGUUUGGCCUCUGCAUCAUGAACCCCCUAGUGCAUGGGGAAGAGGUGGGCCUCAGGGAAGCCCCAAGGCAUAUGUUCAAUGAGACAUUUGUUCAUCUUAUUUCCCUCUUGUCACAUAGUCCAAACCAGGCUAAAUAACAAGUCAUAAUAAUUGAAACCAGGUGCCAACCAUCCAUCUAUGUUUUUCCAAUAAACUAUGUAGCAAGUUGGUACAAGGCACCUCCAGGCAGCUUUGGACUUCUGACAGCAUGUUAUAAAUCACUAAUUACUACACCCCAUCCUUUCUUGGCCAAGCCUAUGGUUCCAACAUCUCUGGAGAAAAUGCACAGAGUUACACAAACUAGCUUCAAGUUGGCCCUAUUCUUUCAGAGGCUAAGGAUGGAGAUUAGCCUUCCUGGGCCCCUGGAGUCACACCCAGCUUUGCUCCAGAUGAAGACCUAGAAUCCUGAAAACACAACUUGGGUACCAGAGGCAGUGUCUCACUGUGUUACCCAGGCUGGAGUGCAGUGGCUAUUCACUGGUGUGAUCCCACUGCUGAUCAGCACGGGAGUUUUGACCUCCUCCAUUUCCAACCUGGACAAGUUCGUCUCUCCUUAGAUGGAGGAAGGGGCCCCAAGCUGAGGACACCAGGAAGCCUUUAGAGGCUGAAAAGGACAAGAAAAUGGAUUCUCCUCCAGAGUCUCCAGAAAAGAAUUCCUUGGUUUUAGCCCACAAAGACCUGUACCAGACUCCUGAUCUCCUGAACUGGAAGAUAAUAAAUCUGUGUUGUUUUUAGCCACUCAGUUUGCAGUCCUUUGUUACAACAGCCAGAGGAAACUAAUGCACCCUCUGAAGCAUCUCCAGUAAAGCCCUAGAUCACUGAAGCACAGCUGGGUUCAAUGAACUUCAUCACUGUGGAUCAUGAAGGGGCUGAAAGGGUCCGUCCUCAACCCUUUUUCUUACACAGCUACUGGUAGGCACUCAGUACUGCAGGACUUGCUGACACAGCCCAGCCUGGUGGUAUCAGCUUCCCUGGGAUUCCAGGGCCCCACUCUUCCUGGCAGGAGGGGAAUCCCAGGUAGCCUUCUCACAAUGCCAAACUUAUUUUCAUAUUGGCAGCUGAGCAGUUCAGCAAAGAGCAGCUUGGAAGUGUCUUCUGGACCCCUAGAAGAGACCUUAUUCCUCUCCUUCUGCUGUACUCUGCCAGUUGUGGCCUUGCACCUGCUUGCUCCCACUGGCACGGUACCCAGAGCAUCUCUGGUCCAACCAACCAGCUCAGGACAGGACAGAGGGUAGAGGGAGACCUCAAGUCAGUCCCAGUCUGAGCUCCCCUAUCCCAGAGGUGGGAGUUGGACUGUUCUGCGGAAGAGCAGAUGGGCAUGAAUCUCAGGGGGUCCUGAAACAGAUGAGGUCUCAAAGCCCUAGAACAAUGGUUCUCAGCCCAGCUGGCACACUAGAUUCACCCAGGGAGCUUUUCAAACUCACAAUCAGGCUAAGCACAGUGGCUCAUGUCUGUGAUCCCAGAACUUUGAGAGGUUAAGGUGGGAGAAUCAUUUAAGCUAGGAGUUCAAGACCAGCCUGGGCAACACAGCAAGACCCCGUCUCUGUUUUUAAAAUGAAAAAUUUUUUUGGCUGGGCACACUGUCUCACAUCUAUAAUCCCAGUACUUU